rnacentral:rRNA from 1 species
UAUUGCACAAUGGGGGAAACCCUGAUGCAGCGACGCCGCGUGAGUGAAGAAGUAUUUCGGGGUGUAAAGCUCUACCAGCAGGGAAGAAAAUGACGGUACCUGAUUAAGAAGCCACGGCUAACUACGUGCCAGCCGCCGCGGUAAUACGUAGGGGGCAAGCGUUAUCCGGAUUUACUGGGUGUAAAGGGAGCGUAGACGGCAGCACAAGUCUGGAGUGAAAUGCCGUGGCUUAACCCCGGAACUGCUUUGGAAACUGUGCAGCUAGAGUGCAGGAGAGGUAAGUGGAAUUCCUAUUGUAGCGGUGAAAUGCGAAGAUAUUAGGAGGAACACCAGUGGCGAAGGCGGCUUACUGGACUGUAACUGACGUUGAGGCUCGAAAGCGUGGGGAGCAAACAGG